GCAAACUUGGUCAUUUAGAGGAAGUAAAAGUCGUAACAAGGUUUCCGUAGGUGAACCUGCGGAAGGAUCAUUAUCGAAUGACGCCGCCCGAGCUGUGCGUGACUAAUCGCACGCGAGGGCGUGUUCAUCAUCCUCACACCUGUGCACCUUCGGUCCGCUUCUGCGGUCCGCCCUUUUUUCCAUCAUCAACUCGUCUGCGAAUGUCUAAUCUUGUACAUGCCUAAUGUAUAUGUCACAACUUUCAACAACGGAUCUCUUGGCUCUCGCAUCGAUGAAGAACGCAGC
rnacentral:misc_RNA from 1 species